rnacentral:rRNA from 1 species
AUUGAACGCUGGCGGCAGGCUUAACACAUGCAAGUCGAGCGAGCGGCGGACGGGUGAGUAAUGUCUGGGAAACUGCCUGAUGGAGGGGGAUAACUACUGGAAACGGUAGCUAAUACCGCAUACCAUCAGAUGUGCCCAGAUGGGAUUAGCUAGUAGGUGGGGUAAUGGCUCACCUAGGCGACGAUCCCUAGCUGGUCUGAGAGGAUGACCGGCCACACUGGAACUGAGACACGGUCCAGACGCCGAGGGGGGGCAGCGGGGGGGAAUAUUGAACAAGGGGCGCAAGCCUGAUGCAGCCAUGCCGCGUGUGUGAAGAGGGCCUUCGGGUGGUAAAGCACUUUCAGCGAGGAGGCGUUACUCGCAGAAGAAGCACCGGCUAACUCCGUGCCAGCCGCCGCGUAAUUC